GCGCUGCCCCCUCGCCGCGCCGGGGGCACUGGAAGGGCUCCACGAAGCUCUGGUUGAGGCUGUAGUAGCCGGAGCACAGUCGGCUGGCCUCGCUCAUCGCGGGCAGGGGCCGGGAGAGGCUCGCGAGGGCCCCGGUCUGCUCUCGGAUCGCACCCGUCCAGCACCUCCAGAGCCCGCGGACCCCUCUGCCCGGACUCGGCUCUUCCGAUCUCGCAAAUAAACUAGAAAAUCUAGAAGAAAUGGAUAAAUUCCUCGACACAUACACCCUCCCAAGACUAAACCAGGAAGAAGUUGAAUCU
rnacentral:lncRNA from 1 species